rnacentral:rRNA from 1 species
CCUACGGGCGGCAGCAGUGGGGAAUAUUGGACAAUGGGCGAAAGCCUGAUCCAGCCAUGCCGCGUGUGUGAAGAAGGCCUUCGGGUUGUAAAGCACUUUCAGUGGGGAAGAAAGCCUUGGGGCUAAUACCCUCGAGGAAGGACAUCACCCACAGAAGAAGCACCGGCUAACAUCCGUGCCAGCAGCCGCGGUAAUACGGAGGGUGCGAGCGUUAAUCGGAAUUACUGGGCGUAAAGCGCGCGUAGGCGGUCUGAUAAGCCGGUUGUGAAAGCCCCGGGCUCAACCUGGGAACGGCAUCCGGAACUGUCAGGCUAGAGUGCAUGAGAGGAAGGUAGAAUUCCCGGUGUAGCGGUGAAAUGCGUAGAGAUCGGGAGGAAUACCAGUGGCGAAGGCGGCCUUCUGGACUGACACUGACGCUGAGGUGCGAAAGCGUGGGUAGCAAACAGGAUUAGAUACCCCUGUAGUC